CAAUAGCGUAUAUUUAAGUUGCUGCAGUUAAAAAGCUCGUAGUUGGAUUUCGGGUGGGAAUGGCCGGUCCGCCGUUUCGGUGUGCACUUGCUACGCCCACCUUGCUGCCGGGGACGUGCUCUUGAGUUCACGCUCGGGACACGGAGUCGGCGAGGUUACUUUGAGUAAAUUAGAGUGUUCAAAGCAGGCCUACGCUCUGAAUACAUUAGCAUGGAAUAACACGAUAGGACUCUGGCCUAUCUUGUUGGUCUGUAGGACCGGAGUAAUGAUUAAGAGGGACAGUCGGGGGCAUUCGUAUUUCAUUGUCAGAGGUGAAACUCUUGGAUUUAUGAAAGACGAACUACUGCGAAAGCAUUUGCCAAGGAUGUUUUCAUUAA
rnacentral:rRNA from 1 species